UUCGCAAUGCCCGAAAGGGUGACGAAGCGACGCCGCGUGGGUGAGGAAGGCCCUAGGGUUGUAAAGCUCUGUCGAGGGUUAUGAAAUAUAGAUGGGUUAAUACCCCAUUUAUUUGACAAAAGCCCAAAAGGAAGCCACGGCUAACUCUGUGCCAGCAGCCGCGGUAAUACAGAGGUGGCGAGCGUUGUUCGGUAUUAUUGGGCGUAAAGAGCACGUAGGUGGUUUUGUAAGUCAGGUGUGAAAGCCUUCUGUUCAAAGGAAGAACGGCAUCUGAAACUGCAGAUCUUGAGUGUAGGAGGGGAGAGUGGAACUUCUGGUGGAGCGGUGAAAUGCGUAGAUAUCAGAAGGAACGUCGGCGGCGAAAGCGACUCUCUGGCCUAUUACUGACACUGAGGUGCGAAAGUUAGGGGAGCAAACGGGAUUAGAUACCCCGGUAGUCCUAACCGUAAACGAUGGGCACUAAGUAGAGGGGUUUU
rnacentral:rRNA from 1 species